rnacentral:rRNA from 1 species
GACGAACGCUGGCGGCGUGCUUAACACAUGCAAGUCGAACGGAAAGGCCCUGCUUUUGUGGGGUGCUCGAGUGGCGAACGGGUGAGUAACACGUGAGUAACCUGCCCUGGACUUUGGGAUAACUUCAGGAAACUGGGGCUAAUACCGGAUAGGAGCUCCUGCUGCAUGGUGGGGGUUGGAAAGUUUCGGCGGUUGGGGAUGGACUCGCGGCUUAUCAGCUUGUUGGUGGGGUAGUGGCUUACCAAGGCUUUGACGGGUAGCCGGCCUGAGAGGGUGACCGGCCACAUUGGGACUGAGAUACGGCCCAGACUCCUACGGGAGGCAGCAGUGGGGAAUAUUGCACAAUGGGCGGAAGCCUGAUGCAGCAACGCCGCGUGCGGGAUGACGGCCUUCGGGUUGUAAACCGCUUUAGCCUGUGACGAAGCGUGAGUGACGGUAAUGGGUAAAGAAGCACCGGCUAACUACGUG